rnacentral:lncRNA from 1 species
UCUCGAUCGAGAUUCUGUCAGAUUGACUUUCCAUUCUCGAACCCUCGUUGAUUUAAGUACACUAGCAUAAUUCUGCCUAUGUUUUUUUCACAAGAUAAUGUCGAAACUACAGCAUACAAAAAUGACUAAGAAUGAACAAACAAGAGCAUGAUACUUUCUUCAAGGUUUGUUAUUGCCAGGCGUUUGUGUCUUUCGUCAGUAGGAAUUCUCCGGACUCGUUUUUCUUCAAAAGCUUCUCAAGCAUCACAUCCCAAUUAGGUCUUCCAUCAUAUGACGCCAAUUUAGAUUUUAUCUCAUUCUCAGAAGACUUGGCAUUGUCACCUUCUACGGAUUCUUCAUUCCUGGUUGAGCGUUCCUCUUCGGGGACAGUGGAAACAGGGAUUUUCAAACUAACGGCUCUUUCCAAGCAUCCUUGUGGUCUUUUUUUUGUAUUGUUCUCAUUCUACCGAGUUUUUGUACUUUGGGGGCAGUUGUUAUGGUCUCAUAAUUUUUCUCCCCAAGUAUCUGUAAGAAAGUAUUGAGUUUAAUUGGGGUCGAUUUUUCAGCAAAAUAUUCAUGAUAAAUUGGUUAUGGAUGACUUCAAUUGAGAACGAAAAACUAUAAAUUAUCCGUUUAUUUUUACUUCAAUUUUUUUAGAUGGAAUAUAUUUUUAUUUAGAUAAAUGGAGUCAAAUAUCUCAUGGCAAUUCUGUCAAUCUAAGUAGAAGAACGCUAAGUAGAAGAGAGCUGAUCAGACGGGCUUGAACCAGCUCGCCUACAUGACGAGUCCCCAUACACCCAUUUGGGGGUCAAAAAAAAAUUUUGUCCCAUCCACACCCAAAUAGGUGACUGCAGACGCACCACGUAAGCGAACCCGUAGUAAUACAACGGACUCAAUCCCGUCUGAUCAGCUCUCCUAAGUAGAAAUAACAUUAAAAAUGUGUACCUAAUUAUCCAUUAUACGCAUUAAACGUGUCAAAUUUUGAUUAUGCAAGUUUGAACCGGAUACAACCCAUUUAACAUUCGUGUUUAUAAAUCCAUCAUACUUGUGUUAACAUCAAAAAAUAACUAAUUCUAAUUAUUUAAUUUGUGUACUAUUCAAGUCAUGUUAUUGUGUGGUGUAAAAAAAAUUUAAAACUCGUAAUAACUUUAAUAUUUAAACUGAGGAAAUAACACCAUAAGUAAACCCUAAUUAGGGUUUUAAAAGAGAAAAUAUCAAAAAAUGUCAUUUUUUAAAAAUUUUAGAAAAAAAAAAUUCUGUUAUUGACCGCCUCAGGAGUAUAGAAUGACCAAAAAAAAAUAAUUUUUGAUACAUUUUUUACACUUUUCAAUAUACUUUCAUAUAUUUUUAUACAUUUUUUAUAUUUUCUUAUAUAAUUUUCACAAUUUUUUAUAUACUAUAGACCGUUCUUUGGACUAUUUUUAGCAUUUCCCAAAAAACAAUUUAUUCAGUCACUCCUAGGCGGAAAACAAAAACAAUUUAUCAACGAAUAUCUUUAAUUAUGACCGAAUUAUAUCUACAUUUUGUUUCCCAGCCCCCAGGUUAAACCUGUUUUUGUGUCAUUUCACAUACAAAAAUAAUUAUGUCAUCUUCAGAAAAAACCCAAAGAAAUACACAGAAAAUACACCUAAAAUGGUAGUAGAAAAUACUUUUUGGGGUUAAUUACAAUGGUUCUUAGAUUUUCAAACCAUCCUAUGCAAGUCGAAUUGGGUGGUUCUAUUUAGAAUUUUACUCCAUUUCUUCUUUUUACAAUACCAACCAGCCCUAACCCAUACUUUUUUUUUAUUAUAAUUAGACUAAUCCAUGUGACAUGCCACAGAUUUACAAUUAAAUAUGCGACGUAGCCUUUUGCCCGGAGCGGUAAAAUUUCGACAGGCCAGGUAAGGCCAGCUCUUCACCCUAACCCAUACUUCCUAAUUGGAAAAGUGCUCUCAGUCUAAGGCCAAAGUUUUCCACAUGAGAAAGCUGGGGGUAAGAACAGCCCUCUCAAAGAUUCAAGCCAAAAAUGAAGGAAACCAUACUUGUCAAGUGCCAAACAAUGCCUUCAUCUUCUCUCUAAAAGAUGAGAGAGAAAGAGAUUGAGAUUUCCAAAUCCCUCUCACUCCUAGAGAAAAGAGUCAUCAAACAACACCAAGCACUCGACAAGUAGAAUCAUUAACACCUCUUUUUUAGCUUGAAUCCAAGUGGAUCUGAUCCAAAACCCCUCAACUCUCUUUUCGGUGUGGUUAAAGCAAAAGAAUCAUCAUCGAGCACUCAACAAAAAUAUAUAAAUAUAUGUAAAGUGUAAAUCUUCAAAUAGAAAAAGAUAGAACAGAUCGGAAAGUGUAGAACCUACGAGAAAAAGCAGGAAUCCAUAGGGAAAUUGGAAUCCGCAUGUCCAGAGGCUCCAAUGUUUGGGAUUUGAUUUCGCAUCGAUUCGUAUUUCCUUUGCCAUUCGUUUAACAGAGGAAAUCAUAAUAGAUGCCCAUUGUUUGUUGAUUGAAAUCGAGAAUUUGAGAGAGAGAGAGAGAGAGAGAGAGAGAGAGAGAGAUUGUUGGUUGGUUGGUUGGUUGCAUCGAGAUUUUCGGAGAGAGAGGCUGAGAGCGGAGGCCUGACGGCGAAGGCGAGGGCCAAAGCGAAUUUAUAUAGUGAUGAUGAUAGGGUUUGGGUGAAAUCUAAU